rnacentral:rRNA from 1 species
ACAACCAGGAUGUUGGCUUAGAAGCAGCCACUCAUUUAAAGAGUGCGUAAUAGCUCACUGGUCGAGUAUCGGUGCGCCGAAGAUUAUCGGGGCUAAAACUUGUCACCGAAGUUUAGGGAUAUGCGAUUGCAUAUCGGUAGAGGAGCAAUGUGUACGGGCAGAAGCUGUAUCGAAAGGGGCAGUGGACUGUACACAAGAGAGAAUGCCGGCAUAAGUAGCGAGAGCAAAGUGAGAAACUUUGCCGUCGAAAGCCUUAGGUUUCCUGGGGAAGGUUCGUCCUCCCAGGGUAAGUCGGGACCUAAGCCGAGGCCGAAAGGCGUAGGUGAUGGACAACAGGUAGAUAUUCCUGUACCACCGACAGUCGUCUAAAUGAAGCAAUGACACAGAAGGAUAGUCAAACCGCGUUGAUGGAUAUAUGCGGCCAAAUCAUUAGGCUUAUGUGUAGUGAAGUACGCACAUAGUUAAGGCUGAGUGAUGAUGGGGAGUGAAAACUAGUAAUGAAGUUGAUGAUUCCACGCUGGCGAGAAAAGUUGCUAAAUAUGACUGAAGGUGCCCGUACCGCAAACCGACACAGGUAGGUGAGGAGAAAAUCCUAAGACGAGCGGGAUAACCCAUGUUAAGGAACUCUGCAAAAUCACCCCGUAACUUAGGGAGAAGGGGUACCACGCAAGUGGUCGCAGUGAAGAGGCCCAAGCGACUGUUUACCAAAAACACAGGUCUCUGCUAAAUCGUAAGAUGAAGUAUAGGGGCUGACGCCUGCCCAGUGCUGGAAGGUUAAGGGGAUGUGUUAGCGCAAGCGAAGCACGGAACUUAAGCCCCAGUGAACGGCGGCCGUAACUAUAACGGUCCUAAGGUAGCGAAAUUCCUUGUCAGGUAAGUUCUGACCCGCACGAAUGGCGUAACGAUUUGGGCGCUGUCUCAACAUGGGACCCGGCGAAAUUGUAGUAUACGUGAAGAUGCGUAUUACCCGCGACUGGACGGAAAGACCCCGUAGAGCUUUACUGUAGUCUGAUAUUGGAUUUCGGUGAUUUAUGUACAGGAUAGGUGGGAGACUUUGAAGCAUAGGCGUCAGCUUAUGUGGAGUCGACCUUGGGAUACCACCCUUAAAUUAUUGAGGUUCUAACUUUGUGCCGUAAUCCGGGCAGAGAACAGUGUCAGAUGGGCAGUUUGACUGGGGCGGUCGCCUCCUAAAAUGUAACGGAGGCGUCCAAAGGUUCCCUCAGGAUGGUUGGAAAUCAUCCAAAGAGUAUAAAGGCAGAAGGGAGCUUAACUGCGAGACAGACAUGUCGAGCAGAUACGAAAGUAGGGCUUAGUGAUCCGGCGGUAGAGUAUGGAAUUGCCGUCGCUUAACGGAUAAAAGUUACCUCGGGGAUAACAGGCUUAUCUCCCCCAAGAGUUCACAUCGACGGGGAGGUUUGGCAC